GUUGUAUGGUUAAGUGACUAAGCGUACACGGUGGAUGCCUGGGCAGUCAGAGGCGAUGAAGGACGUACUAACUUGCGAUAAGCGCAGAUAAGGCAGUAAGAGCCGUUUGAGUCUGCGAUUUCCGAAUGGGGAAACCCAACUGCAUAAGCAGUUACUGUUAACUGAAUACAUAGGUUAACAGAGCAAACCGGGGGAACUGAAACAUCUAAGUACCCCGAGGAGAAGAAAUCAACCGAGAUUCCGGUAGUAGCGGCGAGCGAACCUGGAUUAGCCCUUAAGCACUCGGUGAAGUAGGUGAACAAGCUGGAAAGCUUGGCGAUACAGGGUGAUAGCCCCGUAACCGACGCUUCAUCGAGCGUGAAAUCGAGUAGGGCGGGACACGUGAUAUCCUGUCUGAAUAUGGGGGGACCAUCCUCCAAGGCUAAAUACUCCUGACUGACCGAUAGUGAACCAGUACCGUGAGGGAAAGGCGAAAAGAACCCCUGUGAGGGGAGUGAAAUAGAACCUGAAACCGUGUACGUACAAGCAGUAGGAGCACCUUCGUGGUGUGACUGCGUACCUUUUGUAUAAUGGGUCAGCGACUUAUAUUCAGUGGCAAGGUUAACCGUAUAGGGGAGCCGUAGCGAAAGCGAGUCUUAACUGGGCGCUCAGUCUCUGGAUAUAGACCCGAAACCGGGUGAUCUAGCCAUGGGCAGGUUGAAGGUUGAGUAACAUCAACUGGAGGACCGAACCGACUAAUGUUGAAAAAUUAGCGGAUGACUUGUGGCUAGGGGUGAAAGGCCAAUCAAACUCGGAGAUAGCUGGUUCUCCCCGAAAGCUAUUUAGGUAGCGCCUCGGACGAAUACUACUGGGGGUAGAGCACUGUUAAGGCUAGGGGGUCAUCCCGACUUACCAACCCUUUGCAAACUCCGAAUACCAGUAAGUACUAUCCGGGAGACACACGGCGGGUGCUAACGUCCGUCGUGGAGAGGGAAACAACCCAGACCGCCAGCUAAGGUCCCAAAGUAUUGCUAAGUGGGAAACGAUGUGGGAAGGCUCAGACAGCUAGGAUGUUGGCUUAGAAGCAGCCAUCAUUUAAAGAAAGCGUAAUAGCUCACUAGUCGAGUCGGCCUGCGCGGAAGAUGUAACGGGGCUAAGCAAUACACCGAAGCUGCGGCAAUGAAGUUUACUUCAUUGGGUAGGGGAGCGUUCUGUAAGCCGUUGAAGGUGAAUCGUAAGGUUUGCUGGAGGUAUCAGAAGUGCGAAUGCUGACAUGAGUAACGACAAAGGGGGUGAAAAACCUCCUCGCCGGAAGACCAAGGGUUCCUGUCCAACGUUAAUCGGGGCAGGGUGAGUCGACCCCUAAGGUGAGGCCGAAAGGCGUAAUCGAUGGGAAACGGGUUAAUAUUCCCGUACUNNNNNNNNNNNNNNNNNNNNNNNNNNNNNNNNNNNNNNNNNNNNNNNNNNGGAAUCGUACCCCAAACCGACACAGGUGGUCGGGUAGAGAAUACCAAGGCGCUUGAGAGAACUCGGGUGAAGGAACUAGGCAAAAUGGUACCGUAACUUCGGGAGAAGGUACGCUCUUGAUGGUGAAGUCCCUCGCGGAUGGAGCUGACGAGAGUCGCAGAUACCAGGUGGCUGCAACUGUUUAUUAAAAACACAGCACUGUGCAAAAUCGCAAGAUGACGUAUACGGUGUGACGCCUGCCCGGUGCCGGAAGGUUAAUUGAUGGGGUUAGCGUAAGCGAAGCUCUUGAUCGAAGCCCCGGUAAACGGCGGCCGUAACUAUAACGGUCCUAAGGUAGCGAAAUUCCUUGUCGGGUAAGUUCCGACCUGCACGAAUGGCGUAAUGAUGGCCACGCUGUCUCCACCCGAGACUCAGUGAAAUUGAAAUCGCUGUGAAGAUGCAGUGUACCCGCGGCUAGACGGAAAGACCCCGUGAACCUUUACUACAGCUUGGCACUGAACAUUGAACCUACAUGUGUAGGAUAGGUGGGAGGCUAUGAAGACGUGACGCUAGUUGCGUUGGAGCCGUCCUUGAAAUACCACCCUUGUAUGUUUGAUGUUCUAACUUAGACCCAUUAUCUGGGUUGAGGACAGUGCCUGGUGGGUAGUUUGACUGGGGCGGUCUCCUCCCAAAGAGUAACGGAGGAGCACGAAGGUGGGCUAAUCACGGUUGGACAUCGUGAGGUUAGUGCAAUGGCAUAAGCCCGCUUAACUGCGAGAAUGACGGUUCGAGCAGGUGCGAAAGCAGGUCAUAGUGAUCCGGUGGUUCUGUAUGGAAGGGCCAUCGCUCAACGGAUAAAAGGUACUCCGGGGAUAACAGGCUGAUACCGCCCAAGAGUUCAUAUCGACGGCGGUGUUUGGCACCUCGAUGUCGGCUCAUCACAUCCUGGGGCUGAAGUCGGUCCCAAGGGUAUGGCUGUUCGCCAUUUAAAGUGGUACGCGAGCUGGGUUUAGAACGUCGUGAGACAGUUCGGUCCCUAUCUGCCGUGGGCGUUGGAAGAUUGAAGGGGGCUGCUCCUAGUACGAGAGGACCGGAGUGGACGAACCUCUGGUGUUCGGGUUGUGUCGCCAGACGCAUUGCCCGGUAGCUAAGUUCGGAAUCGAUAACCGCUGAAAGCAUCUAAGCGGGAAGCGAGCCCUGAGAUGAGUCUUCCCUGACAGUUUAACUGUCCUAAAGGGUUGUUCGAGACUAGAACGUUGAUAGGCAGGGUGUGUAAGCGUUGUGAGGCGUUGAGCUAACCUGUACUAAUUGCCCGUGAGGCUUAACCAUACAACACCCAAGGGGUUUUGUA
rnacentral:rRNA from 1 species